rnacentral:rRNA from 1 species
ACGCUCGACACCUACGGGGGGCAGCAGUAGGGAAUCUUCCACAAUGGGCGCAAGCCUGAUGGAGCAACACCGCGUGAGUGAAGAAGGGUUUCGGCUCGUAAAGCUCUGUUGUUGGAGAAGAACGUGCGUGAGAGUAACUGUUCACGCAGUGACGGUAUCCAACCAGAAAGUCACGGCUAACUACGUGCCAGCGGCCGCGGUAAUCUGAGCGGGCUGGCAAGGC